UACGAAGGGUGCAAGCGUUGUUCGGAAUCAUUGGGCGUAAAGCGCGUGUAGGCGGCUAUGUAAGUCGGACGUGAAAUCCCGGGGCUCAACCCCGGAACUGCAUCCGAUACUGUGUAGCUAGAGUGUGAGAGAGGAGAGUGGAAUUCCUGGUGGAGGGGUGAAAUCCGUAGAUAUCAGGAGGAACAUCAGAGGCGAAGGCGGCUCUCUGGCUCAUAUCUGACGCUGAGACGCGAAAGCGUGGGUAGCAAACAGG
rnacentral:rRNA from 1 species